rnacentral:rRNA from 1 species
GAUGAACGCUGGCGGCGUGCCUAAUACAUGCAAGUCGAGCGAACAGACGAGGAGCUUGCUCCUCUGACGUUAGCGGCGGACGGGUGAGUAACACGUGGAUAACCUACCUAUAAGACUGGGAUAACUUCGGGAAACCGGAGCUAAUACCGGAUAAUAUAUUGAACCGCAUGGUUCAAUAGUUAAAGACGGUUUUGCUGUCACUUAUAGAUGGAUCCGCGCCGCAUUAGCUAGUUGGUAAGGUAACGGCUUACCAACGCGACGAUGCGUAGACGACCUGAGAGGGUGGUCGGACACACUGGAACUGAGACACGGUACAGACUCCGGGGGGAGGCAGCAGUAGGGAAUCUUCCGCGAAGGGCGAAAGCCUGACAGAGCAACGCCGCGGGAGUGAUGAUGGUCUUAGGAUCGGAAAGCUCUGUUAUUAGGGAAGAACAAAUGUGUAAGUAACUAUGCACGUCUUGACGGUACCUAAUCAGAAAGCCACGGCUAACUACGUG